UCCGCUUUGCUGCCGGGCCUCCAGCGAGCUUUGAGCGUCUGAGGGCUCCCUGGUUCAAAGGGCCGCAGCCCGAGGGGAUGCCUUCCCUGUGUGCCCCGGGGUACAGAAGCAGACUGCAGGGCGGUGGGACCAGCCUGGGCCACGCAGUAACUUGAGAUGAACUCAAACAAAAGUGGAGCAAGUGAGAAGUGGCAGACAGAGCCCUCCCCUCCUCUGCAGCUCACCUUCGGUGGAUACAGAACAAGACCUUCUGUUGUUACAGACGGAUCCUAGCACUUCAGAAAUUCUACUUUUCUGGUUUCUUCUAAAUUAGAAACAUGUAAUAAACUAAAGAAAUGACCUUCAAUGAUUAGUUCAUGUAUAGAACAUGUAAGAAUGUGAUCACAUGAAUUUCUAGAACUGUGCUUUUUCCAUAUAUAAACCCAUUUACAGAUUUUUGUGCUUUGUUAUUAAUAAUCUAUAUGGAUGUAGAGUUUAAGAUGAAUUUAAUGUCAACUAGGGAUUAAUGUGCAUUAAUUAAAUUGACAGUAUCUUCUCUAAUGAGAAAAAAGGAUUUAGUUCUAAUACUGAUGAUCUUAAUAAGGCUCCCUUCUACUUGUCUGUAUUUUCUCAACAUUAGGAAUUAUUUUUAUUAGAAGGUGAAGUAAUUUAGUGCUUGCUGGGUGGCAAAACUGGAAUAAAUCAAGUGAUUGCAAACUGACUUUGUUUUUGUUAUUGAGGUUGUAUAACCAAGCCAUGUAACUUUCAAUUAAAAAGGAAUCAAUUUGUAUCAGCUAUUUAAAAACAAAAACACAAGUUGAAGUCCAUAUUUAAUUUUCUUUUCAGUACUACGUAAGGUGGUUAAGCAUCUUGAGGGAUUAGACACGGGCCACAUCUACCAUGCAAUGCUCAACAUGCUUGCUUAAAUCUUCUUAUAUAGGCAGAGCUGUAUUUUCCCAA